UGCUGUGAUAUUUUUCAGGUUUCAGUUAUUUAUGUAACAUCUUUUUUGCAUGGCUUAUUGAAAUUCUUCUAGAAUGUAGGCACUAUUCAAAUUUCUUACAGUGAAAUUUUUUCCAUAUUGGGGACGUAGAGUCACAGUGUGAUCAUGCUAAGAGCACUUGCUUCAAGACCUCUGAUCUCUUUACAGUCCAACAGAGCAAUAGGAGAUAAUGCUUCUGAUCAUUAAAUAGCUUAUAAGUAAUCUUUGAACAGCAUUUAAUCUUAUCCAGUUCUUUAAAAUGUUCAUACAGACAGCAUAAUCAUAUUAAUGCUGAAUGAGACCUUGCCUUAUAGAGCAGCUGUUUCAUUACCAGCCGGUGGGGAUAGUUUCAAAUUAUCCAGGCCCUAAUUAUCCAUAUUCUCUCCUGUUGCUCAUCAAAAGCCACUUCUUAGUUUGGCUUUGGUUAUUUUAUUGUUCUAUGAAACUACUUCUGCUGGGUAUUCCAGCAAAAUAAGAGUUACUAAAAUAAGUUCUCCACUUGUUAGCAGAACUCCUUAAAAAAUAUUUAGGGAAAAAUGUUAAUCCUUUAACUUACUGAUUUUAAUUCAGGGGCUAUCCAUGUUGUUGACAACACCCAGAAGUCAGCAUGAUUCUGAUUGUAGUUAUAUUAUUUACCCUUUAAGAUCUGUAAGAAGUCAAGCUACAAAAAAUAAUAGACUCACAGAAUGUCAGAGCCGGAAGGGAUUUUGAUAUUAUUUAGGCCAGCAGUUUUCAUACUUGGGGAGAGCUUAGAAUGUGCCUCAAGUGAUGCUUAUUAAGAACAAAUUUCCCUAGGAUAAGAAAUUUAAGAUCUUGCAACUAGUCAGUAAAGAGCCAUAAAUUGAUAUUCAGUGUUUUGAUUCCUAGCUGAUGCUUUCUCUCUACAUCAGAUUUUAUAGUUAUUAUAUGAUUCCAGUCAAAGGAAAUUUACUUGCAAUGUCAUUAAAACUUUUGAUCACCAUUCACUACCUGAUACAUUCAACAAACAUUGGCCAGGCGUGCUGCCUCAUACUUGAAAUCCUAGCACUUUGGGAGGCCAAGGCAGGUGGAUUGCUUGAGCCCAGAAGUUUUAAGACCAGCUUGGGCAACAAAGUGCAACCCUGUCUCUACAAAAAAUUUAAAAAUUAGCCGGACAUGGUGGUGUGCACCUGUACUCCUAGCUGCUUGGGAGGCUGUGAGGUGGGAAGAUCGCUUGAACCCAGGAGUUCAAGGCUGUAGUCAACCAUGAUCAUGCCACUGCACUCCAGCCUGGAUGACAGAAUGAGACCCUGUCUCAAAAACAAGAAACCCAAACGUUUAGUGACAUCUGUAUGAGAGCAAUUCACAACAGUGUCACCCUGGCAGAAUACAAGUAAGUUCUUGAAGGAGGACACAAAAAAGUCAGUACCAUAGUUUUUGGCCCCACAGUGCCCAGACCUACCCAACAAUAUUUUACUUCUUAGUAAUUACUUUGCCUUGUUAAAUAUAAUUUAAAUUUGUGUUUUUUUUUCCUUGGAAGGACAAUAAUGAUAAAAGGUUGAGAAACACUGCUCUUGGGAUAAUAGGUAAUGCCUGGUGGAGUGAAAAAGAGUUCCUGGCAUGAGCCACCGCACCCAGCCAAUAAUAACUUUUAAGAUGUAAAGUAUAUGUACCUUUAUUUCUUUAUCAUUUUUAUGGAAUUAUAAUUUUUAACAACAUGUAUAGUAUGUAAUAAAAUAUUAAAAUAUAUAGGCCCAAGUUACCAGCUAUCAUGCCCGUCAAG
rnacentral:lncRNA from 10 species